UAGGUGAACCUUCGGAAGGAUCAUUA
rnacentral:rRNA from 1 species